GAAAGUUCGAUGAAAUUUUCAUGCUAUAUAACCUUUUAUAGGAUAAGAUCUUUGGUAGGCAAUUAAUUAAAUGUAUUGUUUUGUAAAAAGGUUUUGGAUAAUAAGUUGAGGGCAAUAUGAUUCUUUUGAGAAGUUUCUGAAUUACUUGAGAUUUUGGCACUAAAUAGAUCCAUGCAUUAUUGGUGAAAUACAACUAUAUUUUUAGUUCUAUAUCUUGUAUUAAUUUUCUAUUUCUAAGUAUGCUGUCUUCCCCUGACAUUUUCAUUAUAUGACAAAGGAUACUGGCUAAUCGGCAGUCUGCUGCUCGCUCAAAGGAGAGGAAAGCUUGCUAUAUACAGGAACUUGAGCGAAAAGUUUAGACUCUUCAAACAGAAGCUACAACUCUAUCUGCCCAACUCACACUCUUCCAGGGAAUAUUGACUACUCUUUCCCAAAGCAAUGGUAAGUACAUGUAUGACUAUGCAACUAUUUCAUUUCUUGUUGAAGUAUUCAAGGUACUUCUCUUAAUUUAACAAGUAAAAUCAUUUUCACUUUUCCUCUUGGUUCGUGGUUGAAAAGUAGUUUUGGUUUUCCAGCUAUCUAGUGAUAUUUAUUUUUUCCUUUCCACCCAUACAUCACAUAUAUUGAUUUUCUUUUACGAUUUUGUCUUUUAAACUGUAGCUAUGAGUCUCUAGUUUACUACUAUGGAGAGAAUGUCGAGCAUCACCUUAGUUUAAAGAACUAAGACUUUUAAAUUGAGACUAUCAGGUAUGUAUUCCUUAGUUUAAAGAAAUAAGACUAACUACUUAAGCCAUGAGGCUAUCCAGUUUGAUAAGAAAAAUACAACUUUUAUAUAAAUCAUUUUUGUGACUGAAAACCACAUUCAUCCUUUAUUAUUUCUUCUGCAACCUCAAGUUCUCUAUUUAUUUUAGUUUUGGUUUGACUUUAAUGGUGUUUAUUCUGUAUUGUAGGCUAAAACUCUACUUGGAUAUUUACGAGAACCAAGACAAUUAUAUAAGAGAACCAAGGCAACAAGAAAUUCUUCUUCAAGUUGUUGGGUAUUAUUUUCUUUCUUGCUUGUAAGAAUUAUGUACAUUGAGGAUUUGAUGUAUUAUUUACAUUGAGAAUAAUGAAUUUUUAUUGAGAAUUAUAAUGAAUUUUUAUUGCGAA